UGCAUAUACGCCCGCAUAUGCGCUAUGCGGUGGAUAAUAUGGACACUACACACCGCCUUUUGGAAUAUGGGGUCUUUGUGUUAGAUAAGUUGAAUCGCUUCUUCGAGACUAAACUUUCACUUCGAGACAUAGUUGUAUCAUUUGAUGCUUUGCGCACACAUGGGAUACUUGUGUGUCCGGUUGGGCUUCUGCGCAGGGUGUGAUAGGUUCUAGCUCUACACAAAUCUCACCAAGUUCAUCAUGAUGGGGUAGGUGGAGUGGAUGAUAGAAAACGCACAAGCAUGUUCGUCUUCAAGUGUGGACACGAACGGUGGAUUUUGACUGACUAGGAGUAAGGCUGGAAGGAGCUUACAUCCAUUUACUGUGACAGUCGAUCAACAGAUACCAGGACAAAAAAUCCGGGGCACCAUUGUCGCACCAAACAUAUUGAAAUUUACUGCCAUUUCAUUUGGAAAAGUGGCGAAUGGCGACAUCGAGUUGGCGCAUCAAGUCAAGAGCAACUAGUGGAUUUUUUUUCACCAAGCCUCUUAACUCUGAAAUAUAUUAUUUGAAGGAGUUAGAGUCACAGAGGUCCCGUGGGGUUGUGAUUAAGAUAAGACCAAAUCUAAUUUAGUUUUGAUAAUAUUAUUAGCUUUUCCUUGGAAAAGUUAGUAGAUGGUUUGGACAUAUUUGUUUUUUGGCUAAUCUCUUUGUUAGCUAAUGACCUUAUUUAUUACCUAUACACCAUCAAAACUAGGGGCAAGUCGUUAAGUAGCUUUCUAGUAGUCAUAAUUAAGCAUCAGGCAUAAAAAGAAAUGUCAUGUCCUGAAACUAUCUUAUAAGUCUAUUAAAAUAAUAAUAAUAAAAAAAUCUAUGAGUUGCUCUUUACAGUAAUAUUACAUUCUGUUGCAGAAACUAGGUCGGCCGCAAUCUUAAAAUCUCUUUUAAAGAGUUUUCCAAUGAUGUUAAUCUUUAACCAUACGAAUAUUACUACUAUAUAUUGAAAUGUACAUAACUAAUGAAACACGAAAACAGAUGUACGAAAAAAACACAAAUAUUUAGAAAGAAAAUAAUGAGACUCAGUACCAGAUAAAGAAACUGAUUAAUUAGUUAGGGUAACUACUCUCUUACAGAAUUUGUACGGUUUCACCGUCUAUGAAUAUAUAAGGAACGUGAGCAAUAAGUUGCCAGUCUAGUCCUUGAUCCUUUACGCAGCGCUCCUUCAGCAAAGGGCACCCCCCAGAUAUACAAUUCUUUAAGCAAAGCUGGUAGGCCAUUCUCUGGCAAUGAUCUAAUCUCAGGGCAGAGGCCUAUUGACAACUUCUUGAUGGAGGAAAAGGUUACUAGAGAAGCAGGAAGGCUCUGCAAAUUUCCACACUCGGAGAGUUGUAGUUCUUCGAGUGAGACUAGUUUCUGGAACCAUUCUUCCUGCUCUACUGUGAAGUAAGCAAGAUGAAUGCAGUUGUGAAGGACAAUACGAAUAUAACUAUAUAUUGAAAUAUACAUAACUAAUGAAUCAUGAAAACAGAUGUUCAAAAACCAUACAAAGAUUAGAAAUAAAAAAAUGAGACUCAGUACCAGAUAAUGAAAC